AUUGAACGCUGGCGGCAGGCCUAACACAUGCAAGUCGAACGGUAACAGGAAACAGCUUGCUGUUUCGCUGACGAGUGGCGGACGGGUGAGUAAUGUCUGGGAAACUGCCUGAUGGAGGGGGAUAACUACUGGAAACGGUAGCUAAUACCGCAUAACGUCGCAAGACCAAAGAGGGGGACCUUCGGGCCUCUUACCAUCGGAUGUGCCCAGAUGGGAUUAGCUAGUAGGUGGGGUAACGGCUCACCUAGGCGACGAUCCCUAGCUGGUCUGAGAGGAUGACCAGCCACACUGGAACUGGGACACGGUCCAGACUCCUACGGGAGGCAGCAGUGGGGAAUAUUGCACGAUGGGCGCAAGCCUGAUGCAGCCAUGCCGCGUGUAUGAAGAAGGCCUUCGGGUUGUAAAGUACUUUCAGCGGGGAGGAAGGGAGUAAAGUUAAUACCUUUGCUCAUUGACGUUACCCGCAGAAGAAGCACCGGCUAACUCCGUGUCAGCAGCCGCAGUAA
rnacentral:rRNA from 1 species